rnacentral:rRNA from 1 species
UACGUAGGGUGCGAGCGUUGUCCGGAAUUAUUGGGCGUAAAGAGCUUGUAGGCGGUUUGUCGCGUCUGCCGUGAAAAUUCGAGGCUCAACCUCGAACUUGCGGUGGGUACGGGCAGACUAGAGUGUGGUAGGGGAGACUGGAAUUCCUGGUGUAGCGGUGAAAUGCGCGGAUAUCAGGAAGAACACCCGUGGCUAAGGCGGUUCUCUAGUACGGUACUGACGCUGAGACGCGAAAGCGUGGGGAGCGAACAGG